GCCGACCAAAUUGAAAAGGUCACGUAAAAGCGACUGCACCGUACGUACGGGUAAUCUUCGCAAAUUAGCAGCUUGGUAACCGAUGUUUUGUACAGUUAAGCAGAAAAACGUUAUUCGUGAAGCCGAUUUUUUAAUAUUUUUUAAGUGCAGUACCAUAUUACACAAUUUUUACUAGUUAAUAAAAGUGUAAUAUCAUAGUGUAUAAUUUAUAGUGUGAUUUAAAACAAUACAAACAUAUAUACAUGUAGCUAUAUUUUUAGUACUUAAUUUGUUGUUUCUGUUAAACCAAAUGUUUUAUUUUGAUACCACAACGCAAAGCCACGCUAAAAACGUUUUAACGUUCUUGAUGCUAGUCAGAGCAGCGCGCAUCGCUGUGUGCAAUGCAACGCAACAGCUAUAUGCCUUGUCUUACUUACUCUUUAGCUGUGAGUAGUUGAGUACGCUCUAUCUAUGGGUACGCUAGCUCCGACCGAACCAAUGAAACAAUCAGUCGUGAACCAAGUGUUUUGGAGAGAAGUGCUUGUGGUUUAUGUGUGUGUGUACGACGACGUCUUUGAACGAUAUGGUUGCGCUUAUGUAUGGUGCGGUCGCUUUUAUGUGACCUUUUCAAUUUGGUCGGCUCAUUAGAGAAUUGCUGACAUAAUCUUGUUUUUGAGAUAACUUUCAUUAGAGCCGUAAUUCAAAGCUGCAAUUAACAGGAAGGAAUUUUCAGGAAUCAUUUUAAUUUGUUUAAAGUAUGCCAUGUUUCUUAAUGUUAUGGGAACUGCGUAUUUGAUCGCUAAAGUACGACCAGUCUAAAAUAAAUCAAAUUUGUUUUUAUCUUCUUAAUGUGUAAAGUAUGAAAUCUAAUAUUUCUGAUGUAAACAAGCGUCGAACCACGGGUAUUUUUUACAGCUGUUUAUUUGGUUAUAAGUGUAUUGGUUUACAUGUAAACCCGCUUCUUCUGAUUUUUGAAACCAUUUAAUUACAUUGGUUUACGUCAACCAAAUCAAAAACUAAUGAUUAAACAAAUUUAAACAAA